GAGAAUACUUUUUCGAUGAGUUUUUGACAUAUCUAGAAGAGAAUAGGAUUAUCUCUUAAUGAAAUUAAUUUUGUUAGACAUAGUUUGAUCCAUGAUGGGAUUUACUAGUCUGUCAGUCUCUUUUUAGGAUUAUACUCUUGAGACUACUUGUUAUGUUCUCAACUGAAUUUCGAACUAAUCAGUCGUAAAGACACCGUAUGAAAUAUAA
rnacentral:lncRNA from 1 species